CCUACGGGUGGCAGCAGUGAGGAAUAUUGGUCAAUGGGCGCGAGCCUGAACCAGCAAAGUAGCGUGAAGGAUGACUGCCCUACGGGUUGUAAACUUCUUUUAUCAGGGCAUAAAGUGAUGCACGUGUGCCUUUUUGUAUGUAUUUUAUGACUAAGGAUCGGCUAACUCCGUGCCAGCAGCCGCGGUAAUAAGGAGGAUCCGAGCGUUAUCCGGAUUUAAUGGGUUUAAAGGGAGCGUAGAUGGGUUGUUAAGUCAGUUGUGAAAGUUUGCGGCUCAACCGUAAAAGUGCAAUUGAUACUGGCAGCCUUGAGUACAGUUGAGGUAGGCAGAAUUCGUGGUGUAGCGGUGAAAUGCUUAGAUAUCACGAAGAACUCCGAUUGCGAAGGCAGCCUACUAAACUGCCACUGACAUUGAUGUGCGAAAGUGUGGGUAUCAAACAGGAUUAGAUACCCUUGUAGUC
rnacentral:rRNA from 1 species